rnacentral:rRNA from 1 species
UACGUAGGGUCCAAGCGUUGUCCGGAAUUAUUGGGCGUAAAGAGCUCGUAGGCGGUGUGUCGCGUCGGAUGUGAAAGCCCGGGGCUUAACCCCGGGUCUGCAUUCGGUACGGGCAUGCUGGAGUUCGGUAGGGGAGACUGGAAUUCCUGGUGUAGCGGUGAAAUGCGCAGAUAUCAGGAGGAACACCGGUGGCGAAGGCGGGUCUCUGGGCCGAUACUGACGCUGAGGAGCGAAAGCGUGGGUAGCAAACAGG